UACGAGGGGAGCUAGCGUUGUUCGGAAUUACUGGGCGUAAAGGGCGCGUAGGCGGUUCGUACAGUCAGACGUGAAAUUCCUGGGCUCAACCUGGGGGCUGCGUUUGAUACGUGCGGACUUGAGUGCGGAAGAGGGUCGUGGAAUUCCCAGUGUAGAGGUGAAAUUCGUAGAUAUUGGGAAGAACACCGGUGGCGAAGGCGGGUCUCUGGGCCGAUACUGACGCUGAGGAGCGAAAGCGUGGGGAGCGAACAGG
rnacentral:rRNA from 1 species